GGGGAAAAAUUAAUAAAAUAAAAAUAAUAAAAAAAUUUUUAAUUUUGGGGGAUGUUAAAGUAUUUUUUUAAAAAAAAAUAAAUUGUUUUAUAGUUAAUUAGUAUUGAAAAAGAAAUUUGAAAUAAUUGAAAAUAAAUUACUAAAAAAGUAAUUUUAAUUUAGUGUAUCUUGUGUAUCAGAGUUUAUUAAAAAAUAUUUUUUAUAAAAAAAAAUCUCGAAUUUAAAAGAGUUAAUUAAUUAUGAAAGUUAAUGUAGAAUAAUUAUUUUUAAUAAUUAAUUUGAAAUGAAAUGUUAAUCGUUUUUAAAUAUAUCUAGUUAUUUUAGAAAAAAAUUUAAUUUAAAAUUUAAAAAAUUUUAUUAUUAAUUAUAAUUAAUAAUAAAAUAUUUAAAAUUAAAUAUAUUAAGGGAUAAGCUUUAAUAUAAAAAUUUAUAAUAAAUUAAAAUAAAAUUUAAAAAUUUUAAAAUUUAUAUUGUUUAAAAAUUAUAAUUUAUUAUAAAAAAUUUUAAUAAUAAUAAAAUUUAAUAUUAAAAUUUAAAUUUAUAUAAAAUAAUAAUUUUUAAUAAAAAAAAAUUAAUAAUAAUGAUAAAAUUAGUAUAUUAAAAUAAAAAUAUAAUUUAAUUAAUUAAAAUUAAAUUAAAGGAAUUCGGCAAAAAUUUAUAUUCACUUGUUUAUCAAAAACAUGUCUUUUAGAAAAUAAUUUAAAGUCUAAUCUGCCCACUGAUAAAUAUAUUAAAGGGCUGCAGUAUAUUGACUGUACAAAGGUAGCAUAAUCAAUAGUCUUUUAAUUGGAGACUUGUAUGAAAGAUUUGAUGAGAUAUAAACUGUCUCUGAUUUAAUAAUAAAAUUUAAUUUUUUAGUUAAAAAGCUAAAAUAAAUUUAAAAGACGAGAAGACCCUAUAGAGUUUUAUAUUAAUUUUAUUUAAGAUUAAAUAUAUAAUUAAAAAUUAAAAAUGAAAAUAAUAUUUUGUUGGGGUGAUAAAAAAAUUUAUUUAACUUUUUUUUUAAAAAUUAACAUAAAUAAGUGAAUAUUUGAUCCAUUAUUAAUGAUUAAAAGAAAAAAUUACCUUAGGGAUAACAGCGUAAUAUUUUUUUCUAGUACAUAUAGAAAAAAAAGUUUGCGACCUCGAUGUUGGAUUAAGAUAAAAUUUAAAUGCAAAAGUUUAAAAUUUUGAUCUGUUCGAUCAUUAAAAUCUUACAUGAUCUGAGUUCAAACCGGUGUGAGCCAGGUUGGUUUCUAUCUUUAGAUAAAUAAAAUAUUUUAGUACGAAAGGAUCAAAUAUUUUUAAUAAUUAAAAUUUAAUGAAUAUUAAUAAUAAUUUAGAUUAA
rnacentral:rRNA from 1 species